rnacentral:rRNA from 1 species
UACCUGCGGUGCGUUUAUCAUGCAAGUCGAGGGACCCUUCGGGGGACCGGCAGACGGCUGAGUAACACGUUGGAACCUACCCGAUACUCGAGGAUAGCUCGGAGAAAUCCGAAUUAAUACUCGAUAGUCUCUACGGAGUAAAGAUUUUUCGGUAUCGGAGGGGCCUGCGGCCUAUCAGCUUGUUGGUGAGGUAAUAGCUCACCAAGGCAAUGACGGGUAGCUGGUGUGAGAGCACGACCAGCCAGAAUGGGACUGAGACACGGCCCAUACUCCUACGGGAGGCAGCAGUAAAGAAUCUUCCACAAUGGACGAAAGUCUGAUGGAGCGACACCGCGUGAGGGACGACUUCCUAACGGAUGUAAACCUCUUUUGUGUGGGAACAAAUUUUUGAGCUAACCACACGAAUAAGCACCGGCUAAUCACGUGCCAGCAGCCGCGGUAAUACGUGAGGUGCAAGCGUUAUCCGGAAUAACUGGGCGUAAAGCGUCCGCAGCCGGUUUGUUAAGUCUGGGGUAAAAUUUUAGGGCUCAACUCUAAAAGUGUUCCGGAAACUGGCAAACUAGAGAUCGAGAGGGGCAAGUGGAAUUCCUGUUGUAGGGGUAAAAUCCGUAGAUAACAGGAGGAACACCAAACGCGAAGGCAACUUGCUGGCUCGAUACUGACGGUCAGGGACGAAAGCGUGGGGAGCGAACGGGAUUAGAUACCCCGGUAGUCCACGCCCUAAACGAUGGAUGCUCGGUUUGCGAGANAUUCGACCCUCUUGUGAGCCCAGCUANCGCGUUAAGCAUCCC